AACGCGAAGAACCUUACCCAGGCUUGACAUACAGUAGAAGUUAUCAGAGAUGAUAACGUCCGUAAGGACUGCUGAACAGGUGCUGCAUGGCUGUCGUCAGCUCGUGCCGUGAGGUGUUGGGUUAAGUCCCGCAACGAGCGCAACCCUUAUCGUUAGUUGCCAGCACUAUAAAGGUGGGGACUCUAACGAGACUGCCUAGGUUAACUAGGAGGAAGGUGAGGAUGACGUCAAGUCCGCAUGGCCCUUAUGUCUGGGGCGACACACGUGCUACAAUGGUCGGUACAGAGGGCAGCGAAGUCGUGAGAUGGAGCAAAUCCCUAAAGCCGAUCUCAGUUCGGAUUGUAGUCUGCAACUCGACUACAUGAAGCUGGAAUUGCUAGUAAUGGCGCGUCAGCCACAGCGCCGUGAAUACGUUCCCGGGCCUUGUACACACCGAGACGAC
rnacentral:rRNA from 1 species